GAUGAACGCUAGCGGCAGGCCUAACACAUGCAAGUCGAGGGGCAGCAAGGGUAGCAAUACCUGUUGGCGACCGGCGCACGGGUGAGUAUCGCGUUUGUAACCUACCUUUAACUGGAGGAUAGCCCGAAGAAAUUCGGAUUAAUACUCCAUAAUACUAUGAAUUGGCAUCUUUUUAUAGUUAAAGCUCCGGCGGUUAGAGAUGGGCAUGCGUGGCAUUAGUUUGUUGGUGAGGUAACGGCUCACCAAGACUACGAUGUCUAGGGGGUCUGAGAGGGUGGUCCCCCACACUGAUACUGAGACACGGACCAGACUCCUACGGGAGGCAGCAGUGAGGAAUAUUGGUCAAUGGGCGCAAGCCUGAACCAGCCAUGCCGCGUGAAGGAUGACGGCCCUAUGGGUUGUAAACUUCUUUUGUACGGGAAGAAACACUCCGACGUGUCGGAGCUUGACGGUACCGUGCGAAUAAGCAUCGGCUAACUCCGUGCCAGCCGCCGCGGUAA
rnacentral:rRNA from 1 species